GGUGUGACGUGAGCGUUGGACGUAAGCGUAGUAGCCUAUUGAGUGUUUAAUUCAUAUAGGGGGUAUGGACACAUAUUUAUACACCCGUCUGUCCACCUUGAUGGCGUAGUGUAGCACCGCAUUAAGGCGUGACGUGAGCGUUGGACGCGAGCGUAGUAGCCCUAUAUAGACCCAUGAAUUUAUAUAGGGAGUAUGGACGAGUGUAAAUACAUACAUAUAUUAUAGAGUCUGAGAGGCUCGAUAUUUUAUGGGAUAAAAGUUUAUCGCUUGCGGCAUGCAUUCGAUUUUUCCUUAGAAAUUAAUUUGGGGAAACAUAAAUAUUUUAUUUAUUAUUUUAUUUUUGUCCACUCACUCUAACGUUAUUAAAUGUUUUCCCCUGGGCCCUUCGUUUUAAAUUGCCCAGUCUGCAGAAUUCGGGUUGGAUCUAGUAGGAGACGAGGCAUAGUCACCCGCAUUUCUGCCAGUUUUCGCCAGUAGGUUACCUGUUCAACCUACUCGUGUUUUCUUGCUUCCGCUUGUGUUUAGUAGCUCUGAAUACUUUAGAAUUUUUGUAUAUUAUGUGUUAAAUUAAGAGUGUAAUAUGAAAUUUUCGAGUUAGGGUUGUCCAUCUGCAAGGGAGAUUUUCUUAAUCUUUUCAGUAAAUUUUCCUUGGAGGUGGUCCCCGCACGACUUACUCUGGGUUUCAGGGUGAAAUUCGGGGUGGGUCGUGUCACUGCAAGCCGCUACUUAUUGAAUAGCAAUAUGCUAACGAAAACCGAUGAGAUCACAUCGGGAAGAGGUCGCCGCAUUCCACCCGUUCAUCUCCUAAGCACCCACCUCAUUGUUGGUCGGUCGCGUGUCUUCCUCACAGAGACAGCGAGGAGAUUUGUUCCUUACCUAUCUUUUGGCUUUGCUUAUUUGCUCGGCACAGAAACAUCACAUGUAAUUCUAUUCUUCACAAUUUCACUCAUCUCUCUCUCUUCGCUCUUCCUUGGUCGUUUUUGUUAACCUUGAAUCGUUUCAUUCUCCGUCUCGGUGAGUGUUCAAUUCGCCUAACGCCCGCUGCUAGGCGCGUGACUAAAGAGAUCCAAAACCCGCGGCUAGGCGGGUUUACAGGUUGGGAUUGUGAUUUUGUUUUUUGAUUUUUCAUUAGUUUGUUUAAUUCCGAUUCUUAUCAUUGGUUUUCAAUGGAUUGCAUGUCUUUGUUUUCUUCAGGGAUCAUAAGUGUUGACAGGUUAGGAGUUCCGGUGACGUCCAUCCUUUUGGUCAUCGCCUCAUCGGUAUGUCCAUCUCUUUUGGGAUUUGUUUGUUUAGGGAGGGCUCAGUACAGUUUUGGUGGUACCAGAAAUUUCUGAGUUAACAGAAGGGAAUGCAUGUUUGUGUUGUAUACAAGAACACAGUAGUCUAAGACAAUGGGUGAAGAACAAGGAUUUUUUUUUGUAUUAUUAUGUACUGAUGAUCAUUUUGUUACGUACUUUGGGCUCUAAUUGUAGUUCCCUGGAUGCUCUUUCCAAAACCUUUCAUUUUGAGGAAGCUUCAUAUAGAGGUACUGUGGUAUAAUUUACUCAUCAUUUGUUUCAUAGUUCUAAGAAAACCAGUAAAGGGAUGAAACACAUAAAAACUUUAAAAAGAAGUUUGUUUUCAUUGUAAAUAUUGAAACAUAAAUAGAAUAUUUGUAGUCAGUAUCCCAAAUUGUUUUGCGGACUCAGCUUAGGUUAUUUAGUAUUUUACUACAUAAGCUAUUUGACCGGACGCAUCAGAAGCUUGGGAGGAUAGUAUUAGUUUGCUUACCUGUUAUUUUUCAGAGGUUUCAAGGUUGGUGCCUCAGAAAAAGAUCGUGACGUGGAAACUGAUCAUGCGAGGCAACAUCAUCGGAACUUUAAUUUCAGUGAGGUGUUUGUGCACCAGAUGAUACAGUCUAUAGAGUUUGUUCUAGCUUGGUGCAAUUUCAAAUACACAUCUUGCCUUCAAUUAUAGGCUGAUCUGAUCAGGGAGGAACUCUCAUCGCUGCUAGCUGAAGGAAAGCUGCUCAAGUUGAUGUUCUCUUACAUGAGCUCUAAAUCGAGUAAUUGAUUCCUAUUAAGUGGAUUAUUUUAUGAUGGUUUUUGUUUUUUUAAUUGGGUUUUGUUUAUUUUCUCUUCAAUUUGAUUUUCAAAUAGCUCUUUAGUUUUACUUUCUCGGAAACAUUUUUCCUUUCAUUAUUAUUAUCUUCUCUUUUUAGAGUCUUGGGUGUUGGAUGGUUGGUUUGCCUGAUAUUUGCGUUUGGUUUAUUAUGCAGGAAAUGUCUAUUUUGCUGUGAAUGAAUUUUGGGAGGUUAAGAAAUUGUUGUGCUUGAAGAUUGCAAACAAAAAUUUAUUUUGUUUCUCUCUGAGUUUGUUUUGGCUGGUUCUGUGGGAAUGUAUUGUUUCGAUAGCUUUGUAAUGUGGUUUUUAUUGUUUGGUUCAAUUAGUUGCCCUGCCGUGGUUCGAUUGAAGUUUGCAGAAAUCCAAUAGGCAUAUUACUUUAUUUGUAUAUGUAAUUAAGAUAGGCCUGCUCAUGUAUUUUAUUCAAGAUAUUGUGAUGAAGCUAAUGUAGUUAUUUAAUUUAAUGUAGCCGUUAUUUAAUUUUAUUGCUUUGCCAACUUUUAUUGAUUUUUCAUGGUGCUUCAGGUGGCAAUAGAAUUAUUGGAAAGAGAUCGAUUUGUGGAAGCAUUUACGCAGGUAAAACAUUUACACACAUAUAAACUGAGCGACUGACGAACAGGGGUUCUUCGGUGUUGUGCAAUUUAGGACUUGGAUGUGGUGGAGGCUUUGGUAGAGAGCGAUUCUGCUAUUGCGUCACACCGUUGUGCAUGAUCGUCACUUUGCCCUUCAAUAUUCUCUUUUUCCUCUGCUAUUCUCGGGUAGGUAGUUAAUAGAACCACAAACUGAAGCUUGCGAUAGUUCCCAGAUUUUGUUCAUAGAAUUUAAUGCUUAGGGGUUUAUAGAAUUCAUAGGAUUGUAUUUAGGAAAUCCUAUUAUUGUUUUAUUGUCUUAGGGGUUUAUCCUCUUAGCGUAUGAAUAUUUGUGUUCUAUAUACAACAUCUUACUGUUGGGAGAGGAACCAGAUUAUGCAGCAAAAUAUAUGAACCAAAAUUGUACAGCAAAAACACAGCAAGAACAGAAAAAAUAACAGCAGCAAAGACACCAAUUUUAACGUGGAAACCCUUCAAUGUGAAGGGAAAAACCACGGGACAAUCUCCGAAGAACUUCCACUAUGAUAAAUGAGAUUACAGCCACCAAUCUCUCUAGAUCACUAGAGGAAAAACUCUCAAGAGAAACACUCUUGGAUACACAAACAUAAGAAGACUUAUCAGAGAAAGGAUUGCUGUCCUCUUUCUCUCCUAUCACAGCAAAACACUCUUCUCACUCUAACCAAGGUUACUGAGAGCUGAAUACAUAAAACACACAGACUCUUCCAGUCUUCUUGAGAGAAUGAGAAAUACACCAAAAACGAGUUACAGCAGAAGCACGCCUUCUUUUGGAAAACUGAAACGACCCUUUUUUUUUCUUUCUCCAAGAUAGAGUCCAACUUGGGCUAAAACACUCAUUUAAUUAGAUUUCUAGCAUGAGCAGCGAAUUAACUCCAACACUUACGACUCUGGCUUCGGCUCUAAUUCUGCUUUCACUAUGACAUAGUUGUUCAAGUUUGUUCCUUUUUUCCCAGCUUUUCAUCAGUUUUACUAAUCUUACAACUGGCUUUGGCUUUAAUUUUGCCUUUUCAUCAGUUUACUAAUUUGAGGUUUUUUUUUUUUGCUUCUUCGCUUUCCUAAUUUGAGGUUCAAAUUAGUUGUUCAAGUUUGAUUUACAGAUUUGUAUUGAUAUUUUCAAUUGCUUUGGGUUUUCUUUUCUUUUCUUUAGGAAUCAGAGAAGUGUGUGAAGGAAUUGGAUUUGCUUAUCAUAGACUGGGUUAAUAUGGGGAGUGGAUUGUCAUGUUGGAGGGAUUGAGCUCCAGGUAACCUUUUGAUUUGGUUGAAUUGUUAAAAACUCCAGAGCUGUAGAAACAACACAAAACAGUACACAGAAGAGAUAAAAACAAUUAGAGGAAUACCCUGUUCAACCAAUACUCGAUCACUGAUCCAAAAUAAUUUUGCUCUUUAGAAUCUAUGUUACUGUUAAUUAAAAGCAUUAAGAGAAAGAAAAAAGCAUAAGAGCUGAUUCUAUUAAAAGUUGUCAAAUGAAUUUUUUUUGUCAAAAUUCCAAAAAAGAGAGGACCAAAAGAACACAAGAAAAACUACUUCUCCAGGUUUUUAUAUACUUAAAUACCUAAUCAUCGUUUUCCUAUACUGUGCCACAAGAAGAGUGACUUAAAAAAGUAGGUGCGCCCUUCUAUGUUGUUCUUAUUCAUAUUUAACAAAUCCUGAUAUCUGCUUCCCUAUUUUUUUUUUUAAUUCAAUUCAGUCAUUUACGAAAUGCAUACCAAUGUGUGUCUAUGAAAUGCAUACCAAUGUCAGUUAUGAAACAAAUAAAGAGGGCAUUUAGGUAGCAGUAGAAAUGUAAUAACAGUGUAUUUAUCAGUCUAUGCUUCCAUCUCUACAGAAACUGUUACAUUCUUAAGUAAACCUUCCUACAGAAACAAUAAACUUGUUUCUGUUCUAAUCAACUAAAGGACUCUGUUGGUUGAAAUUUGGUUGUCUUGGGAUAGAUGAUUUAUUUCAUAGUUAUCUUUUGUUUCCCCUACGUAUGUUUUUAGUAUCCCUCUUAUUAUUAAUUCUAACCUUUUGCUUUGCUCGCAGUAAAACAGGGAACUCCCAGCUCAUAUUUUGUUUGACGAUAUUGACUUUUUCCUGAAUGACUUGCAAACAUGAUUCACUCUAUUUCUUUUUUGUAAGCUGUUACUUCUCAGUCACUUUAUUUUGGACUUGGCUCAACUAACCUUUCACUUGAUUUUCUAAAUAUUCUUUUAUAUAUUUUUGGUAUCAAAUAAGUACAUCUACGGUCUCUAUUGGUGGAGGUGAAGAUGCAAUACAAAGAAGCUGAAGAACGAUUAUUAGAACAGACAAGGAAAAAUAAAGAGAAACUAUAGAUUUUUGAACAUCUUAUUCCGAUCUUGAUGUAAGUUACCCUUCUUUCUGUAUGUAGAACUGUGUUUAUUCAUUUUACUAUUUUAUUUAGGUGGCAGUAGUUCUUUGGCUUUAAUGACAAGGUUGAUUCUUUUUUUUUCUUUUUUCUUUUUCUCUCUUUUGUGUACAAAUUGCUGUCACAUUGUGCAUGCAAUUUGAAGUUUAUUUAGGGCUAUGGCUAGAAAUUUUGGAUCCUGGAUUGGUUUGAGUGGUAUUGAAGUUGUUUAGUUUCUGAUUUGAAAGAGAAAUUGAGAGUGAAAGAAAUGCGAUGCUGAUUGUGGUUGGAGAUAGUUGUAGAAGUAUGGAACUUGCCUGUAAAGAGAUUCUGAUAAAAACUUAAUAUUUAAAGUGUUGUACUGGCUGCAAUAUCACCAUCAUCUACAUAUCUGUUAUAAGAAAUAAUUUAAUCAAUUAAAAAGUUUUGAGUGUUGGUAACUGUGGAUCUGUACUGCGAUUGGUAGAACUAAUAAUGGAUACUUUCAUUACUCAUCUUUCUGUGAAUAUGGUUUAGUAAUAGCUUUCAAUUUUCAUUUACAGUAAAGUUUUGAUGGAAAUUCCUAACUUCCGUCUAGAGUAGUAAGACAUAAAAGUGAACUUAGCACAUGUAUCAGAACAGUCAACGAUGCCAGGUUGUGCAUGUAUGCAUUUAGCCGGUGGUGCAACCUAUUUGGCUAUUCCACAAAAGUUAACAAAGUCUUAGAGAAUUUUUGUUUUUUCGGUCUAGGAAUGAUGCAUUGCAUUUGUGUUCUUAUUUUCUUUCCUUUUUAGAUUUUUUUUGUUUGGAAAUGCUAGACUGAAUGCCAAAUGUUGUUUUCAUGUCGUCGUAAUUUAAUAUGUUGAUUGGUGUUAUAAUUUGUUUUUAUAGGUUUGAUGUGCAUGAGAAGAUGAAUAGAUAUGUUGUGAGGCUUAUAUGUUGUGUGAUGCCUAUUUCUUGCACAGGUGACCAUUGCAAACAGUAGAGGGCUUUAUGGAUACCAUUGCAUCCUUCUCUUCAACUCUAGGUCCACCUUCCUCGACCAAAAUGAACUGACACAAUUCCGGUCGUGGGUGGCGGUGAUGGCUCCAGGUCUAGAAGGAUAUGUGACGGUUGCUCGGCGCUUGGAGGAUCGAUGAUGACAGAUGGAUAUGUGAUCGACUUUGCACUUUUGAAGGCAACAAGUUGAUAUUUAUAGGUUGUUUGCAGUGUUCUGCAAAAUUUUAAUGAUAUCUUUAAUAAAAUUGCAUGCAACUUGAAAUUGUGUAUAAAUUCUGCUAUUUUUUAUUAACCUAAAUAAACUAUCUUUAUUAUUUUCAUUAAUGUUUGUGUCACACCCUGAUCUUAGUGUAUGACUAAUGUGAUAGAUUAAGUUGAAAACAUAAAAGCUGUAAUUUUUAUUUUAUUUUAAACCCUUUUCAAGUACCAAAGAGCAGUCACUAAAAUCUUAGUUAAAGAUCUUCCAAGGAAGUAAGCUAUUAAAAACAAUGAGAUGAAAUCUGAGAACUAGACAUGCCAUGAAAUUCAAACAUACUUUCUUUUCAAGGACAUGUAAAAUUGAACAGUAUUCCAAAAUAUAAUGUACAAGUUCUAAACACACUCUCUCCAAGGAUUCUUAAAACUUGCUUUUCCACAAAUCCUAUGUUGCACCGACACUCCACACCCCUGGAGUGUCGGAGUGUCUGACACUUCCGACACGCGCCCGACACGGCAAAAUCCGUGUCCGACACCCCACGUGGCGUGUCCGAAAAUGUUGACUUUUCGGACACGUCGUGGACACGUUGACCUCUUCCGACACGCCACUGCGACACGCCACGUCAGCAAGAACUUAAAAAAAAAAAAAAUAAACUGAAGUAAUUGAGGCAGUGAGGCACGCUCGGAUUAGAACUCUCAUUCUCUUUCUCUUCUCUUCUCUUCUCUCCUCAGUCCUCUCUGUGCUCUUCUCUUCACCGAAUCGAUUCCCAGACGAAGAAGACGCUCACCUUUCGCCACCCAUUCUCACCAUUCGCCAGUCGCGCCAAUCAGCCACCCAGUCGAUCUGGUCACCGAUCUGACCUCUUCUCUCUACUGUCCGCCAUCGCCAGUCGCCAGUCGCCAGUCGCCAAUCCGCCAGUCGCCACCCCGCCAGUCGCCAGUCCGCCGGUUGUAAGGUUAGUUCAUUUUCCAGUUUUCCUCCUAUAUCUGAUAGUUCUACUAAAUCUUCUUCCUAAAAUACAAAAAAAAAAAAAAAAAAAAAAUACCUUCUCCUAUGUGGUAUUGCAGAUUGAAUUCAAAAUUAGAUGUGUUUGAGACUUGAGUUAAGAAGUUAAGGAGCUAGUUUGAGUUAAGGAGCUGUUAAGUUUGAUUUGAAUUCAAUAUUGCUUCUGUUAAGUUUGAUUUGCACCUGUUAAUUAAAAUAUAGGUGUUGCUUGAUUAUGGAUUGAUUCUUUGUUGCUCAAAUUGCUUAUUCUAUAUUCAAUGAAUCAAUUGUAUAAAUAGGAUGAGCUCAAGUGCUGCUUCAACUGAACCUAGUGUUGAGUCGAAUGAGCCAGAAAAAAUCAGCGCUCCUCUUUGGAAAUAUGUCACUAAAGAGCCAGUGAUUGAUGUUGAUGGGACAGUGAAAAUAGGGGGAGGAAAUAUUCUUUUUGUGUGCAAUUUCUGCAAAAAGAAUUUUAAGGGUUCACAUUCUAGAGUGGAGUGAAAGCUCAUAUGCUUAAAAUUCCAAGGGUAAACCACAACAUGCGUUUGUCUAUGUACAAUGAUCAUUGUUCCUUGAAGUUGCUCCAAGUUGCCGAGACAAGGUUUGCUUCUCAUUAUGUUGUCCUUAAAAGGUUUAGGGAUGUGAAGAGUGGCUUGCAACAAAUGGUUAUUAGUCCAAAAUGGGAUAUCUAUAAAGAAGAUAAUAUUCCUAAAGCAAGAGCGGUGAAGGACAUGCUAUUGAAGGAAAGCUUUGGGAGCAAAUUGAUUUCAUGAUUGCCCUCAUGAGUCCUAUACAUGAGAUGAUAAGGAUGUCGGAUAUGGAUAGACCUUGCCUUCACUUAGUUUAUGAGUGGUGGGAUUCGAUGAUUGUGAAAGUGAAGAAAGCGGUUUUUGACCCUCAAUUUGCCCAUGUCAUAACGGAGCAUUGUAUUGUGACAAGAUUUUAUGAUGUGGUGCAUCAUAUCCUUAUUGCUCGGUGGACCAAGAGUUGUAGACCACUUCAUUGCAUGGCACAUUCCUUGAAUCCAAGGUACUAUAGCUCUCAAUGGCUUGAAGAUGAUCCUAACUGGAUUGCUCCGCAUAGAGAUGUCGAAUUCAACAAUGAAAGGAAGAAAUGCCUUCAAAAGCUCUAUCCGGAUGCUCAAAUUCGUAACAUAGUGAUGGAAGAAUUUGCAUAUUUUUCAUUAAACAUGGGUGAUUAUUCAUCGGCCGAAGCUUUGGAGAAUAAGUUUCAUUUUGAGCCUUUAAUUUGGUGGGUUGCCUAUGGACCUUCUACACCAUAUCUACAAAGUUUGGCUUUCAAAUUGCUUAAUCAACCUUGCUCAUCUUCUUGCUGCGAAAGAAAUUGGAGCACAUAUAGUUUUAUACAAGGUUUGAAGAGGAACAAGUUGCAACCAAAAAGAGCUCAAGAUUUGGUUUAUAUGCAUACAAAUCUUCGACUUUUGGCAAGAAAGGAUUCUAACUAUCACAAGGACAAAGACUCAAUGUGGGAUCUUGGAGGAGAUGGCCAUGAAUCUAUGGAACCCGCCAAUAUUGAUGUGCUUGAGUUGGCAACUUUAUCUCUUGAUGAGCCGGCAUUGGAGAGGAUGCUAAUUGAUGAUGAGAUGGAGUCUUGAAGAUGAGAGGUAAAUUUUCUUUUCAUUUUAUAUUAGAUCAAUUAUGGAAUAACAAGUUUGGAUGAAUUAUAGAUAUGAUAAUUAUAUUAGUUUAUCUUCUUGUCUAUUAGGUGUCCCUUUGGUUUAAUUUAAUGAUUCAUUGUGUCAUUUUCUUUGCAGGGAAUUCUUGUCUUUUUUUUCCAUGUUAUUGUAAAUAUUUGGUACUUUGACAGUGUAAUUGUCUUUUGUUCCAUGUUAUUGUAAAUAUUUGGUACUUUGGCAGUGUAAUCUUAGUCUGUAGUGAGUGGCAGUUUAUCAUUUUUGUUGUUGUAUUAGUUUUAAGUUUUAACUGUGCGCUGUGGUAGAGAUUACCCUGUUUAAAAAUAAGCUACUGCUCAAGUUUGUUUUUCUUUAAUAUGUUUUAGGUGCUCUUUUUAAUGGUAUUAGUUAUGUACUUGACUUAUUUCUUAUGUUUAUGAAAUAGAUUGAAUUUAGAACUUUAUUUGGUAAUGUAAUGAACUUAUUUUAUAUUUUAGUAUUUUUUAUUUAUUUAUUAAAAAUACAUAAAUAUAUAAUUCUAUUUGCCGUGUCCAUGCCGUGUCGGAAACUCAGUUUUUGAGUUUUGCCGUGUCGCCGUGUCGUGUCGCCGUGUCCGUGUCCGUGCAACAUAGCACAAAUCUGUAAACAGUCUAGUAACAUAGAACGAAUGUAGAAACCUUUCAAAACAACUUUAAUGCUUUGCUCCGUUGCCUCCAAAGGCAGAAUCACUCUGUAACCACUAUGAAAUAAAACUUGAAAACUAAACAUCUCAUGUAAUGCAAGUAUAGUUUCAUUUCCAAUGAUAUAAAACUGCAUAGUAUCCCAAUAAAUGUACAAAACUUGAACACAUCUUUACUUCUUGUUUCCAUUACUUUCAAGAGUUCAAAACAAAAAUAGAAUCUGAUCUAUGAUAGAGAGAGCUUUUCAAUUAAUACAAUAAGAUAGUAUCUUUCAAAACAGUCCAUCACAUUUGGUACCAAAAAGUAUAGCAGGUUCUUUCCACAUAAAUACUCAACUGUUCUAACCUUUCCAAAACCUGCUAAUAGUGAAGCAAACUUCUCAAAUGGUGGCAACACAUUCCAAUCCAAGAUAACAAAGGUAUUUGAACAAAUAGCGAAGCACAAAGAGCACACAUCACAGAUAUACAACCACCUAAACUUCAGACCAAGAGCUCCAGAAUAUUAAUAUCAUGUCCCCUCACUACUACAAAAAAAGCUUUAAUGACAGCAAAUUUAUGACGUUUGCCCGAAAACGUCAUUGUAUAUUCUUUCCAUGACAUUUUCGGACGCAAACGUCAUGGAUCUGAAUUUCGUCCGAAAUUUAUGACGUUUGUCAAACUUCAUUGUAUGUCUCACUAUUUAAUGAUGUUUUUCACCUGUCAUCUUUCUUAUGACAAUUUUCAAACGUCAUGAAAAAUAUUUCUAUGACAUUUCAAAAAUGUCAUGAAUGAUAAAUGAACCAUGACGAUUAGAAAAACGUUAUGGAAAAUGUUUGAAUGACGUUUGAUAAACAUUGUCAAUGACAAAUAAACUAUGACAUUUUGUAAACGUCAUGAAAAGUUUUACCCAGCCCCUUCAUCUACAAACAAAUUUCCACUUAGACCCGCCCUUUAAUUUCACCCAAAAUUUAAAUUUCCCCCUUUCUCAUUUUAGUUUUAAAUUUUAACUUUUCCUCCAAUUAAAUUAAAUAAAGGUUUCAAACUUUGACUAAACUCUAAACCCUAGCAGCCUUCCUCAUUUCCUCUUUAUUUCUUCUUUGGUUGCACCGCCGCACAACUCUCUCUCUCUCUCUCUCUCUCUCUCGUAAACACAGGUGGCCCUUCCACUCUCGGCCUCUCCUCUGCUGUCUCCAAGUCUCUCCAACCCUCUCAAGCUCAUAGCAUCCACGCUCCUUCACUGUUUUUCCGGUCUCAACCGUCUCCUCUGCCUUGAUGCUCGGUUCAAGAACUCUGCCUCCUCAAUCUCUAGUACGGCCUCCUGCUUCACAUAGUUUUUUGAUUUUGAGUUUGGAUUCGGUUUGUUGAUGAUUUUGGGAUUGUUGUUGUUUGUAGAUCCGGAUUCACCAACCAAUCUCCCACACAUCUCCCAUGGACCCAGCAGAAUCAGAACGUGCAGAGCGACUGGAGCCGCAAAUUGAAGGAGCGGAAACAGAGAAGAUGAGGCUGAUAUCAGGGUACCCUAUCAUAGCUACCAGCCUACCAGACCCUUUCAAACUCUGAAAGAAAAACAUUAGGUAAGACACAUUCAUUUGCUUGCAAUUAUCAUUAAUCUUUAAACUAUUAUUUGGUUCUUAAUCUUCUGCUCAAGGUGAUUGUUGCAUCAGUCUCACUUCUUCAUUUGUUGUAUAGUGGUGGAGUACCACAGGGGAAAGGUUUCAAAUGCACUAGAAGGAUAAUGACAUCAAAAGCAGUCUCUCUUUUCCGCAAUUUUUACGAGCAAGGAAACCCAAAUGGUAUCUAUUUUAGGAAUAAUUUAUGUUUGAUUUUAGACUGCAUUCAGAGGGCAGAAUCAUUCAAAUUUGUUUUCUCUUUUGAAUUCAUUAAUUCCUUUGCUCAAGUUAGGGAUCUGAGUUUGUAGCAUGUCUUGCUCGGUGCACCUCACCAAAAUUUAAAUUUGGUCUACAGGUGAAAUCAGAAUAGCAAUUUUAUGAAAGCUACUGGAUUGAUACAUAUGUAGAUUAGCGUCUUUUUUUUUGGUAGAUAGCUUGAUAAAGAGAUAGACUUAUGUAUGAAGUCAGUGUAUCUUAAUAUCGAAUCUUGUUUGCUUAAGGAGCAAAGUUUGUUUGCUUAGAUACUGCUUUUUCAUUGGAGAAGACAUGCAAAGGAAAGUCUACAAAUACUCAGUUUUUUACUUAAAUUGAUAUGCUCAGUUCAGCUUUUUGAUUAUGUAUCAGUAGUGGCUUUUUAGUUCAGUUUGCUCAGUUCAGUUAUAUAGUUAUAUCAUGUAUAGCUACUUGCUCUAUUUGAGCAGUGUGUUGCUGUGUACUUGUUUAAUGUUGUGUACUAGUUGUAUUUGAUUUUGAUAGUAGUCCAAUCUGAUAUGUGUGCAUUUUGGUGUUGCAGGUUCUGUUAUUUUGGAUUAUAAGGGUGAAGCGGCUUAUACUUAUGAUGUAUGGUCAAUGUUUAAACUUGUUUGAUUAUAAGUACUUGUUUAAACUUUUGCUGUUGCUUAUGGUCAAUGUAUAUAUAUGAUCAUGCCAUAAGCUGCAACUUUUAGCUAGCUAGCUAGGUAGGACAUAAACUAUUUGAUGGCUGGACUUUUGUAUCAUUAGUACUAUUUGAUGAUGGAUGUAAUUGCUUGUGAAUUAUAGUUUCAUAAGCUUGCAAUUGUAGUCCAAUCUGAUAUGUGUGCAUUUUGGUGUAGCAGGUUCUCCUAUUUUGGAUUACAAGGGUGAAGUGGCUUUUGCUUAUGAUCUUGGUUUGACUUGGAGUUUAUAGCAGAGCAAUUUCUUUUAGACACUCUGUCAUGUAAUACUUAUUGAGACUAUCCACUUUAUUUAGAUACUCUUUCAUAUAAUACUAAUAGAUGAAUUAUGAUAGUUUAUUAAUAAAACUACUGAAUUGUGUCUCCUUUAUGAUUUGUAUACAAAAUACAUUUGAUUUCUGAAUUUAAUCAGAAAAUCAAUUUUUUUUUUUAAAUAUGAGAAAAAAUCAAUGACAUUUGAAAAACGUCAUCAAAGAUUUUAAACAACGGUUCAUAAACAUCAUGAAUUAUUUUCUAUGACGUUUGAAAAACGUUGUAGAAGAAUCUUUCAUGAUGUCUUGGAAACAUCAUUGAAAUAUAAUAGAUAACACUUACCAAACGUCAUUAAAGAUUUUUUAUGACGAUUUACAAAUGUCGUUGAAAGGGUACGAAAUCCAUGACUAGGGUAAAGACGGCGAAGUAGAUGACGUUUGAUAAAUGUCAUGAAACCCUUAUAAUGACAUUUUUCAAACGUCAUAGAAACUUUUUCUGUACUAGUGCCUUAUGAACUACCUGAAAUCAACAUCAAGAAUAUAGGGAAUGAGCUUCACAAGCUCAAUAGGUACGACAAAAUAAUCUUUAUAACAAAGACUCUAAUUCAAUAUGCACUUGGAAAUGAAAGGCAGAAACAUACAUGAAGCUUUAGGAAAAUAACCAAGGAAAUGAGAUUAAACCCCAAUAAUUACUGGUGCACUUACGAAAGAAAGCCAAAGAUUCAGAAGCAAUAUAAAUGAACUCAACUCAAAGUUAACACUGAAACUGUGGAUAUCAACUUUACCAAGUAUCACAAUCAUUAACAAUUUACAUGAACGAAGCGGAAGAAGGCUGAUCAUGAGGGUAAUCUGACAACAAGGCCAAGCCAACAGAUAUAAACAUCAAUAGAUGAUUUCUAACAAAAACAGCAGCAAGAGAUUUGGGGUUUCCAAACUGUUGGAGUAUUAGCAUCACAGAUGAUGACAGAUAAAGAAUAAUUUGACCAACAAUGAACCAACAAUAAGCACAUACUCCAACCAAAGAUGGGAAGUAUUGGAUUAUUCUAUAAACAGAAUUAGCUUUAUGAAAAUAAUAUCAAUGAAUUACGAACACUUUCAAACAACGACCAAGUUCUCACAAGAGAAGGACAUGAACGGAUAUAGCUACUCAUUUAUACUUGAAAGUAAUUUGCAGCAAGGCAAGAUUAUUGAUGAACUUUGCUUUAAGAACUCUACACAUGGAAUUAUAAUUCAACUUAAUAAGGAGAUAUUUCAUAAACAUCUGGACGCAAGGAGUCUAUUUUAAUAUAAGAUUUGAUGAAGUUAAUCAUUGUAAACAUGGGAAGAGGAUAACGAAUACAAAUACACAUAUGUUGCACAACCUUUGCAAAAGGAGAAUAAAGAUAACAGUAGUAAGGCUAACUGGUGGGGAUAUUUUGAAGAGUUCCUGUAGAUUUUAUAUUUCAGUUCUGGUUUAAAAACAAGUAUAUAAACACAGAUGGAUUAGGGUGCUAAUAUAAAGAUCUUGUAUAUGAAUGAGCUAUGACAACAAACGGACAUCAGGAAUAGAUCAAGAAAUAAACUCUCAAGUGCCGUCAUAAGAAGCUUCUUUUGAAAUCAUCAGGUACUAUGAUGAAACAAGAUUUGACAUAGAACAGAUUUUCAUUAAAAUAUUUUCAAGGAUGUACCAAAAUAUAUAUGGAGUCAUGGAUGCAACUAAACUUCAUAAGAAAAGAUUUUGAAGGGAAAGGACGUGGGCUUCUGUGCAUACUUCAAAGAACUCCAACAUGGAUAUUACAAGGCUAACAGUUUAUAUUAAAACUAACAUAUCCAUAACAAGGACACUUGAACCAUGGAUAAGCAGCUAUCAACAUACUCAUAUGAUCAUAUCAGAAAGAAUUAAAACGAAUGAGACAUCAAAACUGUCACAUCCCGACCCUUAUAUUUUUACCUUAUUUACUAGCGUGAUUAUAAUAAGAAUUUUACCGUCUCGAUCAUUGAGUAAAUAGUUUAAUUGGUCCCUAGAGGGGUUUCGGGGACGAUUAUGUGCGGAGGAUUACUAGUAUGAGGAAAAUACGACGACGGUAAAAAUGGUAAAUUUUAGCUAGUAAAAGGUAAUUUUUUAUUCGGGUAUUAUUUUUUCGGGGUGUUUUUAUUUUUGGAAUUGGGUUGAUAUAGGUUGGACCGGUGGAGGCCCAACCCAUUUCUUUUUCCUCCUCCCUUUCUCUUCUUCCCUCUUUUCUUUUCCUCUCCCCGAGCCUCCCGCUGCCCGGUUUUCCGGCCGUCCUCCCGCCGCCGUCCGGCCACCAACCGCCGCCGCACCGGUCCCAUUCGGUCGGUCUCCCUCCCAGCAACAUUUCUAGACCGGUGACAGCCUCCCUAGCGCCGUCGUGAGGGAGAAACGCCGCCCGAAAGCUCCGACUGCCGAAUCGGUUUUCUCGCCGGAACUCCCUCCUCCUGCUGCCAUAUCCGGCGAGCCUUAGCCCAAAAGGAAGCCCUCCUCCCGUGCUUCAAUCUCUCCAAAGGGCUCGCUCCGUCGUGAGCUAGGUAAGGAGAAAUGGGAACUUGAAAUUUCUAGGGCUUUUUGUGUAUUUGUGUUCGAUUGAUGUGCUUAGGCUUAGAAUUGGAGUUUGUGGUAGUUAGGAAUGUUGUAGAGGAGGUUGAGAGGAAGAUGCUGCCAAAAUUUGGUAGCAUUUGCAGGUCGCCGGAAAACGGCUGCCGGCCGCCGCUGCCGGCGGAGCCGCCGCCGGUUAGGAGAUUUUUAGGGUUUUAAAUGUGGAAUAUUAAGAGGAGUAUAUUGGUGUGAUUUAUGGAAUUUUUGGAUGAGAUUUGGAUAGGUUUAUGAAUUUCCGAAGUUUGGUAUUUUUGGCGGUUAAUUAAUGUAGAAUCCGGCCGUAGGAUUUAAGUCGUAUUUUGGAGAGGUUGUAUUUACGACUGUUGAGUAUGAUAUUUAAGUUCGGAUCGUUCCGAUGUAAGAAUAUCGAAGUUAGGCAAUGAUGAGCGUAAUUAUGGCUCUCGGGUAAUUUUGCCUAUUGUGAUUAAAUAUUGGAUUAUUUGGUUGGGAAUUAAUAUUAUAUUUAAAACAGGACGUGAGGAGGCUCGAGCAGACGAGAUCCCAGNNNNNNNNNNNNNNNNNNNNGGCAUAGUCACCCGCAUUUCUGCCAGUUUUCGCCAGUAGGUUACCUGUUCAACCUACUCGUGUUUUCUUGCUUCCGCUUGUGUUUAGUAGCUCUGAAUACUUUAGAAUUUUUGUAUAUUAUGUGAUGUUCAGAAGUGUUAAAUUAAGAGUGUAAUAUGAAAUUUUCGAGUUAGGGUUGUCCAUCUGCAAGGGAGAUUUUCUUAAUCUUUUCAGUAAAUUUUCCUUGGAGGUGGUCCCCGCACGACUUACUCUGGGUUUCAGGGUGAAAUUCGGGGUGGGUCGUGUCAAAACAAUGAAAACUCAAUACUUCAGAUUGACAAACCAAAUGCUUGUCAAUUUACAGCCAAAGAAGAAUACAUAAGAAACAUUCCCAACACAAUCACACCAAAUACAUAUCAAACUAGAAUCAAAGCUAUAAAGAAAAGUUUGUUUUUCCUACCUCAAUCUAUGGAUACCGGCAGCCAAGCAAGACAACAGACGUCAAACAAAUCUCAUCAAAAGCAUAAGCACCCACUCAGCCAUUUUAUACCAUAGCGAUAUCUCUGAAAGCAAUCACGCUACGCAAACACCCCAAACAGUUCCAAAGCAAUCCAGCCACCUAAACAAGAUCACAACAGUUUAUACCCGAAUUUAUUUUUUUUGGAAAAGCUGAAAUUGAACAAGUGGGUUUGAAAAGAUGGGAGAGAUUCAAACUUACUGGAGAUGGCUGAGAUAAACAAGAAGUUUCAAAUCAUGGACAGAGUCCCCAACGACUCUUUGAAGUUACUGAGAAGUGUAGAUUUUCUUUGAAGGUUUGGGGUGAGUGAAUUGAUGUUUGGAACGAAAUAGGAGAACGAAGAAUCGGGAAAAAGUAAGAAGGAGAACGUGUAUGGUUGAGAGGCAAUCAUACAAAGGAGACUUGACCAACGACACAGAUUCAACAAUGUGUUUGGUUCUAGAUGGUGACUGGAAUCUUCCACACUCCGAUCAAAUAUUUCCACACCAAAAAUAAUAAUAAAAUAAAACUAUAUAGACAAGAAAAUCUAGACUGAAAUUAUAUUGGUAAAACCCAAAAUAGCAAUAAAAAUAUAUUCCUAAUCAUAUAAUGAAACACAUAAAGAAAAAAGAAUAAAAACAAUUAAAUUAAAUAACCUAUUUAAAAUUGAGAUCAUUACGGUUUGUCUCACUUUCUUUGUUUAAAUGAUGUGUUUUGCAGUGGUGCUCUAUGGGAAAAUUCUAGUAUGAGUUAAUGCAUAGCAUGCAUCAAGUUUUUUAAAUAUUUUUGAUCGUUGGAUAUAAUAAAACCAUGAAUAUAUCUAACGGCCUAAAUUAUUCAAAAUUGGUAACUUGUUUAUCCGGUAACAAGUAAAAAAAAUUCAUUUUUUUUUUAAAUUGUAACUUAUAUAUGCAAUAAAUAAUAAAACAAAAACACAAUCCAGGAAAACCCUCAAGUAUAACGAAGAACUAAAUAAGACGACGUUCUGUAAAUGUUCUGUUUCGUUCCUAGCCCGAUUUGCACCAUGCAUCAACACGGUUCAGUUCAUUUAGUAAACCUAGUUGUAUAGUGAUUCAAGAUCUGCUAAACCCGGCCACCUAGAGAGAUUCUUCACCUCGAAGAGAUUGUGCAUCACUAUCUUCUUCCAAACUCACCUCGAGGGAUUAUUUAACACUCAGGACCUUGAGGAGAUUGCAUCUCCCCCUUAACAAGAUCCAUCUUGAGCGAUCUUUAUUCACCUCUUAAUUGUAUAAUUUUUUUUAGUUCAAAUCCGACUGAAUUAAGCAAAACGUGUUCAAACACAGUACAAAUUUAUAAAUAGGUUCUAGUACAACUGAACUAAUCGAUGUUGAUUACUUGAUUAGAAACACGAAAACAAGGAAAUUCCUCUAUCUCAUCUUUCGGGGCUUCCUCUUCAACCUCCGAUCGUUCUCUUCUUCUUCCACUUGGCCCCUCAUGGUGUGGCUGAAAUGAAAUUGGCUAUCAAAACCCUAGAUGUGCAGAGAAGGCUGCGAAGAAUGAGAGGAAGUGAUAGCGGCUUUGGGAAUAUUUUUAUUUUAUUUUAAAUUAAGUCCAAAAUAAUUGAUUUUAAUUAAAGGGGAAGAAAGUCUUCAAAUUUCAAGUUACAAGUUUAGAGAACAUGUAUACCAAUAAAAUAAUGAAUAUGUUGUUAUACAAGUAAAAUGUUAAUAAUAUGAGUAAAUUGUUGUUGAGACCUUUAUGGUGUAAUGAAGAUCUUUAUAUUGCAAUUACUGUCCUUUAAGAAGUUUUUAGUUAUGUGACAACGUUUUUACAUAGUUUAUCGACAAUUGAGGUGAAAAAUAAUAAUCAAGGUCAAUUUCAUGGUAGUUUUUUGUAUGAGAACCAUUUGAUUCAUUAGUCGACGAAUUGUUGAAAAAGUAGUAAUCAAGUUUGUAUUUGUAGUAAUUUUUUCAAUUACAAGUUCAAUAACUAUUUUACCAAUCUGACAACAAAUUGUCGUAAUAGUGGUAAAACUAA
rnacentral:lncRNA from 1 species